rnacentral:rRNA from 2 species
UGCCUCUAGCCAAACCAAUAUUAGAGGUACUGCCUGCCCAGUGAUAUUAAUUCAACGGCCGCGGUAUCCUGACCGUGCAAAGGUAGCAUAAUCACUUGUCUUUUAAAUAAAGACUAGUAUGAACGGCAAAACGAAGGCUAAACUGUCUCCUUUACCUAAUCAAUGAAACUGAUCUCCUGGUACAAAAGCCAGAAUAAAAAAAUAAGACGAGAAGACCCUAUGGAGCUUUAAACAAAAUAGAAAGUUACCAAUCAACCCUGUAUACUCAUUCUACGCUGUUUUCGGUUGGGGCGACCACGGAGUAGACAAACCCUCCGAGCUAAACUAGUCAAGGAAAACCACCCUAGACACCAGAACCCUGCACUAUUGACCCAAUUAUUUUUGAUCAACGAACCAAGUUACCCUAGGGAUAACAGCGCAAUCCUCUUUAAGAGCUCCUAUCGACAAGAGGGCUUACGACCUCGAUGUUGGAUCGGGAUAACCUGACAGCGCAACAGUCGUCAAGGGUUUGUUUGUUCAACAAUUAAAAUCCC